rnacentral:rRNA from 1 species
UGCAACUCGCCUGCACGAAGUCGGAAUUGCUAGUAAUCGUAGGUCAGCAUACUACGGUGAAUACGUUCCCGGGCCUUGUACACACCGCCCGUCAAACCAUGAGAGUUGGCAACACCCGAAGUCGGUAGUCUAACCGCAAGGAGGACGCCGCCGAAGGUGGGGUUGAUGAUUAGGGUUAAGUCGUAACAAGGUAGC